UCACUUAUCUGGCAGGAGAGAUACCACAAUCAUAAAGGUGGUUUUCUCAGGGUGAAGCUUAUCUAUUCUACUCCAAAUGUGCUGACCCCUGCAAGUUUCCCAAAUGGGGAAAACCCAACUGAAUAAUUUGUUGUAGAAAGGGAAUGCAUUCAUAUUUUCUCCUU